CUCCGGCCAAAAGAGGCGCGGGCGGGGAGAGAGCGGCCAACUCCGCCAGAGAGAGAAGGAGAGGGAGGGAAAGGAGGGAUGUGCCUCCGCACACACGUUGCCCAGAGCGAAAUGCGCGCUCCUCCCUCAAGUCAAGGAGUUGCCAUACAAAACGCGCCCUGCUCCGCACACGAGGCGCAUCUCUUCUCGCCCCCUCACAAGCCCCAACGCAGGGAGAAAGCAGGCUCGACGGUAUUCCGGGUUUAAAUGUCGAAAUUCAAAAGCGGCUGAGGGGAAGCUGAAACUUUUUUUCCCCUCACGCUCCACGGCGGGAAUGUUGCCCCAAAGCUGCGGCCACAGAAAAAAAGAGAAAGGGGCGGGGAGGCGAGGCGGCGCAGGGUGCCUCCAAGUGGGGCCAAAAGUUUCUCCUCCUCCUCUCCUCUGCCUCUCCUCCUCCUCGUCCUCCUCCUCGGCGCAGCUUCUCCGCAGCCGCCCAGCUCCGCCGCCAGCCGCACAAGGGAAGGAAAAAGAGAGAAACACACGCGGGCGAGUCGGGUGUGCGCGGACGGAGAUUGACAAGCCUCUCCUCCAAUCCAAGGGAGGCGCCGGCCCGGAGUGUGUGGGGCUAACAAAUCUAUGGCUGUUCAGACACUCUGCCCAUAAAUCCCUGUUCAUGGGCACUAGAUCACUCCAAGCAGCUAUGAAAGCUUAUACAAUUUCUACAAUAUCUUUCUCUCAGUCUCAAAGGUAAUACAAGAACCCUUUGCAUACUAACAUAUUCUCAUAGUGAUCCUAGCACAACAGUCAAUGUUUCCAGCUCUCAGGGAUAUUUGUUAAUGUGUGUGUAUGGAAUAUCAUAUUGGGUUGUUUCUAUUGUUGCUGCUUUUAACAAUAAGCUCUUGGUCAAAGAAUGUUAGGUGCAACCCAUUUCUUUUGAAAUGCAUGGAAUUUUGACUACACCCAUAAACUAUAUUUAUUUCAAUGGGAUUUAGAGUUGAUUGCUUUCUGAUUACACUAUGUAUAAAAAGGUCUAGCAAUAUGAACAUAUGGAAGUCCUAUAUAAUGAAAUGGUGUUGUAUUGUGUGUGGGAUGCUGACUCUAUAAUGUUUUCCCUGACCUUAUGAAGGAUAUAGAUGGCACAGCCAUUGCUUGAUGACAAUAGACUGAGAGAAAGAACAGAACUACACUAGGGACCUCUUCACACAUCUUUCCCCGUACCGUUUUGUUGGCAGUUGCUGGCAAAAUGGCAGGUGUGUGGGGUACAUCACAGCACCCAGCGCAUUCUCCCUUCUUCCCCCAUCAGAGAUGGGGAAUGGGACAAGGAGAGUUGACAACCUGUCCCUCAUCAGAUGUGGAAAAGGGCAAAAAAAAAAAAAGCAGGUAGCUCCAUCAGAGUUACUUAAGACACACCUUACCUUUUGUUGUGGCUGAGGAAGCGUCUUGCGAAGCUUCCUCAGUACUUUGAGCAUCAAUGGGGUGGGACCUACCGAGCGUGAUGUGAUAGUGCUUGGCAGGCCCCAUCCCCAGCGUGCUGCAAAGAGGCAAUUUGCCCCAGUGUGAUGAGGUAUCAUGUAUGCUUCCAAAUCACUCUUAGUCAUUAAUGCCUACCAAGAGCAUCUGAAGACUUUCAUGUAAAAAUGUUACCUGGCUUCAUGCUCCCAGUUACCAAUAGGUUGGCUGAAAACUGGACUGUAUAAUUUCAGUUUUCUACCAGUUACAAAUUGUUAUUUUCCUUUGCAGUCUGGGCUUGAAUUUGAUAAGCAUGUGAUCUGUAUACUUAAAAAAACACUUCCACCCCUAUAAACUUGCCUACACAUUCAGCUUUUAGUACCACCAACACUGGUAAGUGUAUACCUUUGCUUUGCUUCUACCACUGUUGCCAAUUGACUACAUCCAUAGAGGUUGUUCCCACUCCCCAGUAAUGCAGUUUGGGAUAUCGUUGAUAUUCAUAUACUGUUAAUAGUGUUCAUCUUUAUUUGGUAAUUUCUUAAUUUGAUCAAAGACCAAUGAGGCAGAUCACAAAAUGCCCUGGGUUCCAUUUUUCCACUCAACUGAAUGGAAUUUUGCCUCAGAAGGCAUUUGUCCUGCAGUGGAAGCUUGAAUGGGAUUUUAAUUAGACAGAAAGUACAAUAACCAAAGCUGCAUCAUUUUCCCCCCUCAAUGAAUAUGAGACUGCUUCUCCGGGCAACAAGAAUGUAACAU
rnacentral:lncRNA from 1 species